GAUGAACGCUGGCGGCGUGCCUAACACAUGCAAGUCGAACGGAAAGACACUGAGAUUGUGCGGUUCUCGAUUGCGGAAGGCGGGCGUGUCACGUGUGUAACCUGCCCUUGUCUUUCGGGUAACAUAACGAAACUGGGGCUACUAUCAGAUAGGAUAUCCUGCAGCGUGGUGGGCAUUGGAAAGUCUCGGCGGUUGGGGAUGGACUAGCGGCUUAUCAGCUAGUUGGUGGGGUAGUGGAUUACCAAGGCGUUGAUGGGUAGCCGGCCUGACAGGGUGAUCGGCCACACUGGAGCUGGGACACGGUCCAGACUCCUACGGGAGGCAGCAGUGGGGAAUAUUGGGCAAUAGGCGGAAGCCUGACCCAGCCGGCCCGAGCGGGUGAAGAAGGCCUUCGGGUCGUAAAGCCCGCUUUUUGGGAAAGAACAGCUGUCGCCUGAGACGAAGCGGUAGUGACGGUAACGAAUAAAGAAGCACCGGCUAACUACGUG
rnacentral:rRNA from 1 species